rnacentral:rRNA from 1 species
UGGGGGAAUAUUGGACAAUGGGCGAAAGCCUGAUCCAGCCAUGCCGCGUGUGUGAAGAAGGUCUUCGGAUUGUAAAGCACUUUAAGUUGGGAGGAAGGGCAGUUACCUAAUACGUGAUUGUUUUGACGUUACCGACAGAAUAAGCACCGGCUAACUCUGUGCCAGCAGCCGCGGUAAUACAGAGGGUGCAAGCGUUAAUCGGAAUUACUGGGCGUAAAGCGCGCGUAGGUGGUUAGUUAAGUUGGAUGUGAAAUCCCCGGGCUCAACCUGGGAACUGCAUUCAA